CAAAGGCAACAGCAUAAACAGCAGGCACAAAGGCCGGGAGGACAGAGAGAGCAUUAAAAGUCAGGAAGACAGAGAUGAGCUGCGCCCUGGCGUGGGAGCCAGAGUGGAGCCAGAGAGGUAAGUUAAGGGCCAGCCUCCAGGGGGCGCCUGCUGUUUCUCUUUGGCUCCUCCACCCCCGUUCCCUCUGUGAAAUCCCACGGUUGGGAGGAGGUCAGAUGGCGCAAGCAGAGAGGUAAUUCAAGGAUAUUUUCCAAAUGCACAGGAAUCCGAGUCUGCAUAGCUCGCCCCUUCCUGGGCCAAGCAGGCAGGGCUCUCAGUGGGCACGCAUGGAAAAAAGGAUUAUUGAUCUUUGAGUGGGCAUACUGAUUAAACUCCAGGGGCUCGCGAGGCUGGGGUGAGAAGUGGAUCCGUCGGUGGAGUAUCAGGAUUACCAGGCACCCCCCACCCCUGCCCCAGUCCUCCCAGCCCCGAGCUGGCUGGGCACUUGGCUCCAGCCCUCACCGGGCGGCAAACCCUUUGAGUUCGAGAACGCACCGGCUGCCUCAGUCUUGUAGACAAGGCCCCAGCCUGACAGAUGAAAUCUUUAUUAUGAUGAUUUUUAUUUGGGGGCGUGCGUGUCUGCGUGAGUGCGGUGCACAUCUGGGGCCGAGGCGGCGGCAGCUGAAAUCCCCGCGAAGGAGGCUCAUGAAUAUUCGGCGUCGGUGCCCGCCGCACUUUGCAGUCAUCGAUUAUUUAUACGGGAUGGUGGAGCAGCCACUCUGUUGAACAUUACUGUCACACAUGUGCCUGCUAAGUUGCUUCAGCUGUGUCUGACUCUGUGCGACCCUAUGGACUGCAGCUUGUCAGGCUCCUCUGUCCAUGAGAUUCUCCAGGUAAGAAUACCAGAGUGGGUUCCAUGCUCUGUCUCCUCCUAAAGCUUCAGAAAUGACAGAUGUCACUUCUGUUUCAUGGGCCAAAGCAAGUCACAUGGCCACAUAGAAACUCAAGUGGGUAGGAAAGGAUCACCUUACCACAUGCCCUGAAGGAGGGGACAAAGGAAUAUUUGUGACCAUCCCUGAUGAUGGUCUCACAGGUGCUGCAUCAGGCCUGGAAGAUAACAAAGAAAGAGGGGUGGGCUUCUCUCUUCGUGAAAUCAUGGUCUAGAGCAGAGGGCAAGGGGAUGAGGCAGAUGCACAGUCGAUGGUGAUCCAGGGGGCUCAGUGCCAGGAGAGAGGUCUUCUUGGAAUGCGUGGGAGGCAGGGUGAUGUGGGAUCUGGCUUCCAGGGGUGACCCCUUGGGGCGCUUUGAUUGUGAACAAGGGGAUUCAUUUCUCUGUGCCUCAGUUUCCUCCCACUUCCUUUGGGGGUGAUGAUGGUGACACAGUAGCACCUGACACACAGGGCGGUUGUGAGAGAUGCGUG
ensembl:lncRNA